rnacentral:rRNA from 1 species
GAUGAACGCUGGCGGCGUGCCUAAUACAUGCAAGUCGAGCGAACAGACGAGGAGCUUGCUCCUCUGACGUUAGCGGCGGACGGGUGAGUAACACGUGGAUAACCUACCUAUAAGACUGGGAUAACUUCGGGAACCCGGAGCUAAUACCGGAUAAUAUAUUGAACCGCAUGGUUCAAUAGUGAAAGACGGUUUUGCUGUCACUUAUAGAUGGAUCCGCGCCGCAUUAGCUAGUUGGUAAGGUAACGGCUUACCAAGGCAACGAUGCGUAGCCGACCUGAGAGGGUGAUCUGCCACACUGGAACUGAGACACGGUCCAGACUCCUACGGGAGGCAGCAGUAGGGAAUCUACCGCAAUGGGCGAAAGCCUGACGGAGCAACGCCGCGUGAGUGAUGAAGGUCUUCGGAUCGUAAAACUCUGUUAUUAGGGAAGAACAAAUGUGUAAGUAACUAUGCACGUCUUGACGGUACCUAAUCAGAAAGCCACGGCUAACUACGUG